UCUGCCGAAUUAAAGCCCUGCUGCACCCCCUUUUUCCCCCCCCCCGGGGAUAUAGGUCAGGAUGAUUUGCUGGUGGGGAGGCCACGGCACGGGGAUAAACAACGCUGCCCGUUUUGGGUGUCCCAAAAGGAGGUUGUCCGGGGGUGCAAGCGCUCCAGGUUUUUAAAUCGCAGAAAAUAAAAACUGAAUUGUUUUGGAUGGACAUAAUUCCCGGAAAUGGCUAAUUCCCCCCGGGCUGGUUUCAAUGGAUGUGGAGAUACCUCGCCUUUGGCCUCCUACCAGUUUCUCCUCCAGUGGCUAGACCAAAGGCAGCGGCGGCUCUCGGGAGCAGCACUUUCCCAGGCUUGGCUUUCGCUGCCCGGGAGGAUGUCCACCCCCUUGCACAGCAUCCUGAGCCGGCCAGAUGUCAGGCUCUGGAUUCCCUUUUGUGAAUUCACACCGGGGCCAGCGUUUC